ACAAGUUUUGGGGCCAUUCCCUAGAUCCGAUGCUCGAUUUCCGACGAAACCCUAGUUCUGUUGACCGCGCGGUCUACCCCUUUGACUGCAUCCCAUCGGGGCUCCCCCGGUGGGCAUAUGCCUCCAUUUGAGCUUGGUUAGGUCAUAUGUACAUUUGGAAACAAGGAUCAUCACAUAUGAUCUCAAGUUUCUCUCCGGUUCAACUCCGAGGGAGUUCCCCCCUAUACAUGCAGAAUCUGCCUAAGUGUAGGAACCCCCUGUCCGAGAAGCCGGACACACCUGGGGGGGUAGCCUUGGAUAUAGAACCAUCUCAAAUCACUUUUGUGCAUUCCAUGUGGACACACACAAGUUUUGGGGCCAUUCUCUACAUCCGAUGCUCGAUUUCCGACGAAACCCUAGUUCUGUUGACCGCGCGGUCUACCCCUUUGACUGCAUCCCAUCGGGGCUCCCCCGGUGGGCAUAUGCCUCCAUUUGAGCUUGGUUAGGUCAUAGGUACAUUUGGAAACAAGGAUCAUCACAUAUGAUCUCAAGUUUCUCUCCGGUUCACCUCCGAGGGAGUUCCCCC